UCCAGACUCCUACGGGAGGCAGCAGUGAGGAAUAUUGGUCAAUGGGCGCGAGCCUGAACCAGCCAAGUCGCGUGAGGGAGGACGGCCCUACGGGUUGUAAACCUCUUUUGCCGGGGAGCAACGGGCGUCACGUGUGGCGCCACUGAGAGUACCCGGAGAAAAAGCAUCGGCUAACUACGUGCCAGCAGCCGCGGUAAUACGUAGGGGGCGAGCGUUAUCCGGAUUCACUGGGUGUAAAGGGAGCGUAGACGGCCAAGCAAGCCAGGGGUGAAAGCCCGGGGCCCAACCCCGGGACUGCCCUUGGAACUGCACGGCUGGAGUGCGGGAGGGGCAGGCGGAAUUCCUGGUGUAGCGGUGAAAUGCGUAGAUAUCAGGAGGAACACCGGCGGCGAAGGCGGCCUGCUGGACCGCGACUGACGUUGAGGCUCGAAAGCGUGGGGAGCGAACAGGAUUAGAUACCCGAGUA
rnacentral:rRNA from 1 species